rnacentral:rRNA from 1 species
UACCCGCAGCACAAGUGGUGGUCAUUAUUAUUGGGCCUAAAGCGUCCGUAGCUGGCCUGUUAGAUGCCUGGGUAAAUCGAUGCGCUCAACGCAUCGAACUCCGGGUAGACCGGCAGGCUUGGGACCGGGAGAGAUGUGAGCUACUCGAGGGGUAGGGGUAAAAAUCCUGUAAUCCUUCGGGGAGGACCAGUGGCGAAGGCGCACAUUAGAACGGCUCCGACAGUGAGGGACGAAGCCCUGGGGCGCAAACCGG